UACGAAGGGGGCUAGCGUUGUUCGGAAUUACUGGGCGUAAAGCGCACGUAGGCGGAUCAUUUAGUCAGGGGUGAAAUCCCGGGGCUCAACCUCGGAACUGCCUUUGAUACUGAUGGUCUCGAGUCCGGAAGAGGUGAGUGGAAUUCCUAGUGUAGAGGUGAAAUUCGUAGAUAUUAGGAAGAACACCAGUGGCGAAGGCGGACUCACUGGUCCGGUACUGACGCUGAGGUGCGAAAAGCGUGGGGAGCAAAC
rnacentral:rRNA from 1 species